UUCUCUCCUCUCUCUCUCUCUCUCUCUUAAAUAUAGAAACAACAUUUUUAUUUGAAAAAAACAAUUCCUUUUAUUCCUUAAAUUUGGCCCACAAAAACUUUUCUCUCUCUCCUAUAUUCUCAGUUCUCACGUAUGCAUUCAAUACAUAUCACCAAACUUAAGGUUUUCUCCUCCACCAAACACCCGCCCCUCCCUCAUUCAUUACUUCUCACCAAACACCUGCCGCUGCACUAUGAUGGAUUCGCCCAUCCGCCGGCGUCUUCCCUACUGAGAGAGAGCGAGAGUCGCCGCGCGCCCAGCCUGGUUCCACCGCCGACGUCGCCUGUGAUAGAGGUUGAGCGUGCAGCCUUAUUCCACCGCCUGAAACCCUAAGCACGUCGCUGCCGCCUCGCUCGUCUGCCAUCGGGGUUUCACGCCGUCGCCUGAAGCCCUAAGCACGUCUUCCACAGCUUGACGCCGCCUCGCUCGUCUUCCACAAGAGUUUCACGCUUUAGUCAAGAAGAUGAGUGACACCCAAUCCGAUCCUCAAUACGAAGAGGAGGUGGAAGAGACGUCCCGCGUCCGAAGAGAGUUUGGAGGAAGAGGAGGUCGAAGUGCAGCCGGAGAGGCGGAGGGGAAGACGACGAGGCCCACGAAAUGUCGCCCGCGAUGAGUAUGAAGAACCACCACCCCCAGUUAGAUUUAUUGCUGAAUAUUUUUUUUAUAUUUUUAUAAGAAAUAUUAUUAGAUUUAUUUCAUGAAAUUUGUUGAUAAAGAGAUUGCUCCACUAGUUAUUAUUGUUUCCUUAUUCACGGUCCAUUCUAACAUGGUGAAUCUAUUGACCAAAUCAUUCACCUAUGACUUAUAUAAUGAUUAAUACAUUAAUGUAAUUAAAUCAAUACUCGAUCUAUGAUAUUGCUCCUAUGAAUGUGCUAAUAUAUGUGUUUUGGACUGUUUUUAGCCAAUGUUGUGUUUGUGUGUUGGAGCUUUUGUUGGCGGUUGGAUGUUGGAUGAAAUUGUGAUUAAAUUAUGUAAUCGUGUACUACUUGUGUACUAAGGAACCAAAUUUUGUGUACAAUUUCGUGCACUUGAUAAUUAUGGAUGAUGUCAGGUUUCGUGUAAGUCUUUGUGUUCUAAUUUACAGAGUUCGUGUACUAUUCGUGUACUGAAGAAAUAGGUUUCGUGUAUGCCGUCGUGCACUUGAUAUCAAUGAAUAUUAACAGCUUUCGUGUACUGUUUCGUGUUUAUGUUUAUAGGUUUCGUGUAUUAUGUCGUGUAUUGAAGAACAUGUUCAUGUAUGCACGAGAUAUUGUGCACGACUAUGAUCUUUUGGACACGACACUAGACACGAAAUCAAAUAACAUACUUUUAAAUGAUUUGGUAUCGAUAUGGAUGUUAACAUUUUCAUUUUCAUUGAGAAUUAUGCUUCAAAUCUCAAAAUAAACUUACUUAACACGGUUUUAUCGAAUUCACUAUUAAAUUAUUGAAACGUGAAACUUACAACUUUGUAAAAAACACUCAUAUAAAUAUUAGUGAAGUAACUUAAGAUCUAUAAAGAUAAUAAGUCAUAUUGUUGUUUUAAAGACAUUCUCAGUAAAGAUUAUAAAAACUACUCAAUUGGCUCAUUGCACUAAUUUAUAAUGAUCGAUCAAUUCAAAAAUAGAUCUGAAAUCAAUCAUCAUAUACGGUGCACGAGAUUAGGGUACACGAAUCCUUAGGGUACACGAAACACAACACGAACCACUGCACUACACGAAGGUUUCGUGUACCCUAAUCUCGUGCACCGUAUAGGAUAAUUGAUUUUAGAUCGUUUUUGAAUUGAUCGAUCAUUAUAAAUUAGUGCAACGAGCCCACUGAGUAGUUUUUAUAAUCUUUACUGAGAAUGUCUUUAAAACAACAAUAUGACUUAUUAUCCAUAUAGAUCUUAAGUUACUUCAUUAAUAUUUAUAUGAGUGUUUUUUACAAAGUUGUAAGUUUAACGUUUCAAUAAUUCAAUAGUGAAUUCAAUAAAACCGUGUUAAGUAAGUUUAUUUUGCGAUUUGAAGCAUAAUUCUCAAUGAAAAUGAAAAUGUUAACAUCCAUAUCGAUGCCAAAUCAUUUAAAAGUAUGUUAUUUGAUUUCGUGUCUAGUGUCGUGUCCAAAAGAUCAUAGUCGUGUACAAUAUCUCGUGCAUACACGAUCAUGUUCUUCAAUACACGACAUAAUACACGAAACCUAUAAACAUAAACACGAAACAGUACACGAAAGCUGUUAUUAUUUAUUGAUAUCAAGUGCAAGAAGGCAUACACGAAUAGUACACGAAAUUUGUUAAUUAGAACACAAAGACGUACACGAAACCUGGCAUCAUCCAUAGUUAUCAAGUGCACGAAAUUGUACACAAAACCUGGUUCCUCAGUACACAAGUAGUACACGAUUUGGGAGAGGGAGAGAGAGAAGCGCCGGAGAAAAAGAGAGGACCGAGAGAAGGGUUCUCGGCGAAGAUGUCGUCCGAAUCCAAGGUGGUGAUGGAUCAUUGCGAUGGGAGGUUGAAGAGGGUCCCAUCACGGGGCAGUAGCGGCGGUGGGGCGUGGGCUUCUCCUUCGUCCCUGCCCGCGGAGCUCUUCUGUGGAAGCGGCGGAGUCGUUCGACUGUCUGCCGGCGAGCGCUUCUGUGGAAGAGGGUCUCCACCGAUUCAUGCAGACUGUCUCUGCAAAGUUGUUGUGUUUGAAGAAAAAGAUACCAUCUUUUUUAUGGGUUUUUCUUGAAAGUUGAAAUACUUGUUUGUGCGCGCGUGUGUGAUUAAUAAAACUCUUUUCCAGCAUAUAUUAUCUUUCUAUGCAGAAUAAUUCGGGAAAAAAAAAGUUACAGAAAAAAUUAAAAAAAAAAAUAUAACUUGGGGCAGCAUAUGGAGCUUUCAUGAAUCUUUUCCUUUUCUUCUCUUUUAGAGCUUCUUCUCACGGGAAAAUACUACUUUCUUUAACACUUUAUUUUCUUUCUUUUCUUUUUCUGGGGUUUCUACGGGAACAAGUAGAGAAUGAAGUGAACUACUCCUUCGACUCUAAUUACAGCUUGGGUAGGUGCAGCCGUGGAAACAAGAAAGGGGGAGAGAGAGAGAGAGAGAGAGAGGGAGAGGGGGACUCUUUUUUCUUUAAAGAAAAUUCCUUUUUUGCUGUUUUCUCCAU